rnacentral:tRNA from 1 species
AGGUCAGUGGCUAUCUCGUCCGCCUGAAAAGCGGAAGGUCGGCGGUUCGAUCCCGCCCCUGGCCACCA